ensembl:lncRNA
GGGGAACCUUAAUGUGGCUGAGGAGCUGCGGGUGUCACAGGCAUGAAAACAGCAUCUUCUUCUUCUUCUGCCUCCUCUUCCUCCCACUGAAGUGUUGCUCCCUCUCCUCUAUCUGCUGAGUCAAAUCCCAAAUUUCAGAGAGUGCUACAGGAAGCAGAGCUGACGCAUCCAGUCUGCUCGGCGGUGCAGCGUCGGCAUGAGCGUGCGCGCAUGUUUGUUGUGAGGGAGUGUUUUCCUCACUCAAAAGUAGAAUCAGCGGCAGGUUAAUCGAAUCACGUCCGCUCCUGGAAGAUGAGCGGGCAUCGACCAGCUGAUAGAAGUUCAUGGCGGAAUUCAGAGGAGACGCGUUGCCGUGUGGACUUCAGCUCCCCGCAACCACAUCAGGAGAGCGCGAGACAAUGACACCUCCGAUGAGACGCCUAGAACCCCAACGUCAACCAGGACAGCAUGUUUCUGACAACCUUGCACUGAUCUGUCCAUUAAUUUCUCUCUUCUCACCAAGGCUGACUUCUCCAGGCAGCCUGGAUGUCAUGGUGCAGCUCAUUAGAGCGUGUACAAGCUGAGGUCGUCGUUGUCGCGACAUCGUGACCACUUCAAUAGGCCAUUAAGGGAACGGAGAAGCUCUGGUUAAUUUGUCGGAGAAAAUGCGAACCGUCCACGAUCUCUCGAUUAUAUAACCCCCCAGAGGAUGGCUGUGUAAUGCAUUUUAAAGCCAUAUCGCUCGUCAACUUUGCUACACAUCUCAGAACCUUCCUCAUCCGGUGGCAGAUGUUUAUAAGUUAUUUAUACACCGUCUGCUGCCAUCAGAAUUCUCCCCAUAUGCUUUCAUGAAUCCAAGAGCCUGACCCCCAACUCACAACACAGGCAAGGAACCCCCCCCUUUAACAGGAAGAAACCUUGAGCAGAACCAGGCUCAUACGACCCUGCUGCUGAUGUCCGCUGGAUAAAGGAGGACAGAAAGAGGACAGAAACCCUUAGCAAUCUAGUGAAGAACUCAAAGAUCAGUGAUCCAUUUUUAUUCUCUGUGUGAUCCACGAAGUGGAAAAUGCAAUAUCUUAAUUUGUAGGUUGCCAUAAAAGCACCCUCCAACCUUUAUCCUCAGGCUGGAACAUUAGCAACCUUUUCUUUGAACACACUCGCCACAGCACAGUGAAGGAAAUGAUUAGUAAUCUACCUGCUAAAUGCUCCGACCGUGGCAGCGACAGUUGUACCAAAACAUUAGACUUAUGAGCCGAAAAACCAAAUGCAGGGAAAAACUUCAGCAACCUAGCAGUGUUAAAUAAACAUUUUUGGAAAAAACAACAAAGUGUUCAAUGUUGGACCUGUAAAGAGAGAAUUCAGAGUUUAUGUCUUUAUUUAAUAGCUUUAUCUGAUAUAUUAGAGGUUAGGUUUUGGUUACAAAAAUGCUCCUUAUGACUACAAGUGCAGCAUUAACAUUUUGGAACAGUGGAGAACCAUGACAGCAGUUCCCCAUGGGGAGAAGUUCAUCGCAGCUAUCAGACACGCGCCUCCUGGAACACGGAGCCAAGGAAUGCUGCAUUUGUUGACUGUUAUGACUGUUAAAGCAAGAUGCAUGAAAACACAAGCCAGCAAAGGUUUUAAUGUGGUUAAUAGCUUACAUCACCUUUAGCGGCACCCGUGCUGGGAGGGGAGUGUGGUUGUUGCAAGAGAGUGAGAGAGACAUAAAUGAUGACUGGCAGGAUGGUGGGGGGAGAGCUACAGACUGAGAAGAAAGAAAAAAAAAUCAGGAAUUCAUUAUUUUCCGGUUCGGUCUGCGGAUGGCUGAUAAGGCCGAUCAGAGGAGAAUCUCAUCAGGGUGUUCUGCUUUACGAGCUCACCACCGAACAUUUCCACUGCAGAUCCAUUCGUGUGGCUCAUAGCGACGUGCCGGUUUGAACAGUGCCGGUUUAAUGCAGUUUAAGGAUUCAUUUACACUGAAUUCAAAAUCAGCCGCUGUCAUCUAGAUUGAGAUUGGCUGCGUUAUUGGCUAUACUUCAGAGAACCAGGUGCCCAGGUCGUACAGCCCCCUUUGCACAUUUGUCAAUAUGGUAACAUCAGCCAGAUAAGAUGAAGUCUUAUUAAACCCAAGAUGAUGAGAAUUCCUGCGACAGAUUGAAUCAGCUGUUGCAGCAGCCAGGACAGGGGGACUUGUUAAAAGUUAUGACGCAGCUGUGUCUUAAAAGUACCGACAUUUCGUAAGUACACGCCAUCCUUUAUGGCUUCCUGCUGCAUGUUUUCUUUUCUCACGUUCAGAAGAAGGGGUGG